rnacentral:rRNA from 1 species
GACGAACGCUGGCGGCGUGCUUAACACAUGCAAGUCGAACGAGACGAUUGGAAGCUUGCUUUUAAAAGUCGAGUGGCAAACGGGUGAGUAACGCGUAGACAACCUGCCUUUGAGAUGGGGACAACAGUUCGAAAGGACUGCUAAUACCGAAUGUUGUAUAUUUUCCACAUGGAAGAUAUAUUAAAGAUGGCCUCUAUUUAUAAGCUAUCGCUCAAAGAUGGGUCUGCGUCUGAUUAGCUGGUUGGUGGGGUAACGGCCUACCCAGGCGACGAUCAGUAGCCGGUCUGAUAGGAUGAACGGCCACAUUGGGACUGAGACACGGCCCAGGCUCCUACGGGAGGGAGCAGUGGGGAAUCUUCCACAAUGGACGAAAGUCUGAUGGAGCAACGCCGCGUGAGUGAAGAAGGGUUUCGGCUCGUAAAGCUCUGUUGUCGGGGACGAAUGUGCAGUAUUUGAAUAAAGUACUGUAAUGACGGUACCUGACGAGGAAGCCACGGCUAACUACGUGCCAGCCGCCGCAGUAA